rnacentral:antisense_RNA from 1 species
ACGGGAGGAGGGUACCCACCUGGUCGGUGUCACAUGCUGCUUCGGCCCCAGCGUCCCCUCCAGGUCCCGGCGCCGGCCGCAGUCCCCAGCGCCGUCCCCAGCGCAGGCCCGGCCGCCCCACCCGCGGCCCGCCCCUGGCCGCCCGACGGGAGGGAGGGAUCGGGUUCUCCUAGGAAGUUUCAGCAGAACUGGGAAGAAAGGACCCUGAAAAGUUAGCUGGUUCCAAGUGACCCUCCAAGGGGAAGAGUGCUGGAUUCAGAGCCCACCUCUGGGGAAGACAGGACCCUCUCCAAGGUGGCUUCCCUAGAAGCUACUACUUCUCCCUGGAGGGUGGAGAUAUUUGCUGGUCAAAGAUAUUAAAGUAAUUGUGAAAUAAAAGAAAAAAUCAUCUGAUAAAACCACAUCUCAUAGAAACCCAA